rnacentral:misc_RNA from 1 species
AACUUUCGACAAUGGUUCACUUGGCUCUCGCAACGAUGAAGAACGCAGCGAAAUGCGAUAAGUAGUGUGAAUUGCAGAAUUCAGUGAAUCAUCGAAUCUUUGAACGCACAUUGCGCUUCCUGGUAUUCCGGGGAGCAUGCCCGUUUCAGAAUCAUUAAAAUCUCACCGCAGUGGAGCUUUUCGGAGCUACGCUUUCGAGUGGAUUUGGAUGCUUUGUUCCGACAAUCGUCUUAAAAUGAUAGUGUGUGCAUCCAUCGAAUAUUCCUUGGGUUACCAAAGUGCAACAGAUUUUUCUAUUUCGUUUUGACAGCUCUGGGGUUGGACGGAAGCAUAUACCCAGUUUCUUAACAAAUGUUUCGCCCUUGGGUGAAAUCUUUGAUAACUUGGUCUGAAAUCGGGCAAGAAAACCCGCUGAACUUAAGCAUAUCAAUAAGCGGAGGCU